rnacentral:rRNA from 1 species
UACGUAGGGUGCGAGCGUUAAUCGGAAUUACUGGGCGUAAAGAGUGCGUAGGCGGUUCGUUAUGUCUGCUGUGAAAGCCCCGGGCUUAACCCGGGAAUGGCAGUGGAAACUGGCGGGCUUGAGUGUGGCAGAGGGGGGUGGAAUUCCGCGUGUAGCAGUGAAAUGCGCAGAUAUCAGGAGGAACACCGGUGGCGAAGGCGGGUCUCUGGGCCGAUACUGACGCUGAGGAGCGAAAGCGUGGGGAGCGAACAGG